ACAGUAAUAAUAAUAAUUUGCUUAAUAACAACCCCGGUUCUAUGAUGAAAGAAGUUGGUUGAUAUUUAUGUGAUCGUGAGAGGAUCACUGAGGUAUCGUGAAAACCGACUUGUUGGAUAUUUGUGGUGUUAUGCGAAAGUCAAGGGUAAAGGUCAAGCUCCUUGUGGUCAUAAAUGAUUACUACGGUAUUGUUAAUAGCAAGCUUGAUUGGAUCCUGAGAUGAUCGUGUGAUGUCAGCGAUGGUAAGUGCUACACGUGAUGGUUACAAUGUAACCCGAGAAGAGUAAGUUGGUGCAUGAUAGUUUCAUCAUGUUGCAUGCUAGUCUCAUCAUGUUCUUAUGUUUAUGCCAUGCUCGUAUUGUUCUAGCGGUAUCAUCUUGUUGAUGCUAUGAUUGAUCUGAUAGUAUCAUGUUAAUCCUUGUUAACCUGUAAGUGCCAUGCUGUUGUUUGUCUUGAUUGCUUUGGUUGUUGUGAGCUUGCGAGUACAUUCAUUGUACUGACCUGGCGUGUCAUGCCAGUUUGCAGGUCAUGACAGAUUUGAUUGCUUGUUUGCCGUGGAUUCCUUGUUUGCGAGCUAGGAUAAGCGUUCCAGCCAGAGUCCCUGUGGAGUGGGGUUCACCACCGUCGCCGUCAUUCCACUGCCAGUAGUCAUUCCGCUACGUCGUGUUGUUCUGCUGCUUGCAUGGAGCAACCAUGGCAGGCGUAGUUUCGCCGUGCCAAUGUAACCCCCUUGUACCCACAUAGAUUGCAAUAAAGAGCUGGUUUGUUCUAUGCUAAGCAGUGCCGUAUUCCAGAAGACUUCUCCUCGAUCUCUGGGCUGGAAUACGGGGCGUUUCGGUUUCUCCGAGCCAGGGUGCCACAACACCAUAUCGGCAACUUUGUUCAUUUCCUGAUAUCAAGUAAUUGUUUUCUUUGUCUGGCAGGGUUUGGAAAAAAUUCACCUCAAAAACUCCGGGACUGCCGAAGAAGCUGCAAUUUAGACACCCGAAAUGGUUGUGGCAGGAACAAGAGAAUGAUUAUUGUGGAUACUACAUUUAUGAGUCCAUCCGCCACACGACCUGUGAGCGGGGCUACUCUGACAAACAAUAUGAAAUAUUUCGGAUGUGGGAUGAACUCCUACCACCAGAUCGUAU